CGCUGGCGGCACGCUUAACACAUGCAAGUCGAACGAGCGAAAGGUGCUUGCACCUCUAGCUAGUGGCGGACGGGUGAGUAACACGUGAGCAAUCUGCCUUUCGGUGGGGGAUACCAAUUGGAAACGAUUGUUAAUACCCCAUAACAUAACGAAGCCGCAUGACUUUGUUAUCAAAGAUUUAUUGCCGGAAGAUGAGCUCGCGUCUGAUUAGGUAGUUGGUGAGGUAACGGCUCACCAAGCCGACGAUCAGUAGCCGGACUGAGAGGUUGAACGGCCACAUUGGGACUGAGACACGGCCCAGACUCCUACGGGAGGCAGCAGUGGGGAAUAUUGCACAAUGGGCGAAAGCCCUGAUGCAGCGAUGCCGCGUGAGGGAAGAAGGUUUUAGGAUUGUAAACCUCUGUCUUUGGGGACGAUAAUGACGGUACCCAAGGAGGAAGCUCCGGCUAACUACGUGCCAGCCGCCGC
rnacentral:rRNA from 1 species